UGGCGCUGUGCUGCUGCGUCAGGUCUCCCAACCCUGCGGGGCCCCGGGCGCUGGGCGUGGGGUGGCUGCCGAAGGGGCUUGUUCCUGAGAUUUUUAUUUAACUGUUUUUUGCCCGUGCGGCCGGGCCGUGCCGUGCGGGGCCACAGGACGCCUUUUGGGCCGUUGGCUUCCUCGGGGUGUUUGCAUCGUUUCUUCAGGGGCGUCACGAUGCUGAAGAUGCUGGACUUCGAGAUCAUGGUGGCCAUCGGGGGCGGCCUGCUGGUAGCCGCCUUCGUGCUGCUGUGUGCCGUCAUCUGCCUCUACUGCAGAGUGAGCAACGCGCUGAAGAACCUAUGACCGCCCAUGGCGUCGGCACACAGGGCGGGCAGCGCGGCCUGGAAGGCCGUCCCCACGCUGGGCCGUGCCCUCGUGCUCCACCGCCAGGUGCCCAAGCGCCAGACCUCGGAGAGCGGCCCCGUGGCGCCUGCCCCCCCAGAGAGGGGGGCGCCCCUGUCUCCUGGCCACGGUUGUGGUGUGAAAUAUAGACUGGCUAUGUUGA